GAUGAAGAACGUAGCGAAAUGCGAUAAGUAAUGCGAAUUGCAGAAUUUCCGUGAGUCAUCGAAUCUUUGAACGCACAUUGCGCCCCCUGGCAUUCCGGGGGGCAUGCCUGUCCGAGCGUCAUUUCUGCCCUCCAGCCCGGCUGGGUGUUGGGCGCUGUCCCCCCGGGGACACGCCCCAAAGGCAGUGGCGGCGCCGCGUCGGGUCCUCGAGCGUAUGGGGCUUUGUCACCCGCUCGGGACGGACUCGUCGGCGCUGGUCUUCCUCCAGGCGACCCUUCGGGGCUCGUCUUCCUUCGGUUGACCUCGGAUCAGGUAGGGUUACCCGCUGAACUUAAGCAUAUCAAUAAGCGGAGGA
rnacentral:misc_RNA from 1 species